rnacentral:lncRNA from 10 species
AUGAUAGCAGCGAGAAAAUCUGCUUUUGUGCCAGACAGAUGUGCGGUUACUAAUUUAACCAGGGCCGCUUGGAGGAGGGAAGACUCUGUCCUGGCGCUGGCCCUCCUGUGCAAUUCAACUCGUGACCGAUCCUGCAGAUCACAGGAGACCCUGCAGCGCUGGAAGAACCCAGAGUUCAGGGCAAAGGGGAGCUUCAAGCACUCCCCAAAAAUAGGUCCUUGCCUGUCAUUUUUAAAUGAGGUUUCUUUUCUUCUCCCCAGCUUCUACUUUCUCCUAGGCAUGGGGUAAGAGAAUUUACUUUCUUUUUUCUUUUGAGACAGGGUUUCACUCUGUCAUGCAGUUUGGAGUGCAGUGGCACAAUCACCUCACACUGCAGCCUUGACCUCCCAGGCUCAAGCAAUCCUCCCACCUCAGCCUCGCAAGUAGCUGGGACUACAGGUGUGUGUCACCAUGCCCAGCUAUUUUUUUUUUUUUUUGUUUUUUUGUAGCAACGAGGUCUCUCCAUGUUACCCAGGCUGGUCUUGAACUCCCGGGCUCAAACGAUCUGCGAGCCAGGGCCUCCCAAAGUGCUGAGAUUACAGGUGUUAGCCACUGCACCAGGCCAGUAAAAGAAUUUCUUAGAAAGUUUUGGGAUGAAUUUGGCCACCUUUGCUGUAGAAUAUGUAGAAGGAGAAUUUUAAAACUUCUUUGUUGGCAGGACUUAAACCUUCUGUGUUGCUGUUCUGUUUGUAAGGGCAGCGCUAGCUCCUGACCCCAGCAGUAAUUUCCAUGCCUUCUUUUCCCAGCUGCAGGGAGGGACCCUGGAUCAUUGACUGGGCCUCACCGUCUGGAGAAGAGAUUCUGGAGAAGUUGUCUCUGGAGUGAGUUUCUGUUUAGUUGGAUAAUUUGUGUAUUUAAUGACAUACAACUUUUCUUUUUUUCAAAGAAACAACCUUGUCAAUAUCCCACAAAAGAUCAAAAUAUAUAUUUUAAAAUCUUACAUUUAAGUAAAAAGUAAUAUAGCCAUAAUAUAAAGACACUCCAAGUACAAUCCAAGUACACUAGGCUAGACUGGAGGUUGCAGUUGGUUCAGGCAAGAUUCAUACCCCGAACUGCACCAGGUAAGCAGCUUCCCA